GUGAAUCAUCGAAUUUUUGAACGCAAAUUGCACUUUCUGGUAUUCCGGAAAGUAUGCCUGUUUGAGGGUCAGUUAAAUUAAAAUCGGUGUUGUUGCUACCCGUAGUGGUGUGUGAUGCAUCGGAAUUGAGUCGUCUUUUUGUUAAGUGACUUAAAAUUUUUGUAUGAUAUCUAACGUAUUUAAAUUUAUUUGGUACGUUUUUAAUAUCAAAUAUUUAUUAGGUGUGGUCAUUUUCAUGACUCACGUCCUAUAAUCUUUCAUCUAAUGACCUCAAAUCAGGUAAGAAUACCCGCUGAACUUA
rnacentral:misc_RNA from 1 species